AGAGUUUGAUCCUGGCUCAGAACGAACGCUGGCGGCAGGCUUAACACAUGCAAGUCGAACGGGCCCUUUUAGGGUCAGUGGCAGACGGGUGAGUAACGCGUGGGAACGUGCCCUUCAGUUCGGAAUAACCCAGGGAAACUUGGGCUAAUACCGGAUACGUGCGAGAGCAGAAAGAUUUAUCGCUGAAGGAUCGGCCCGCGUCUGAUUAGCUAGUUGGUGGGGUAAUGGCCCACCAAGGCGACGAUCAGUAGCUGGUCUGAGAGGAUGAUCAGCCACAUUGGGACUGAGACACGGCCCAAACUCCUACGGGAGGCAGCAGUGGGGAAUAUUGGACAAUGGGCGCAAGCCUGAUCCAGCCAUGCCGCGUGAGUGAUGACGGCCUUAGGGUUGUAAAGCUCUUUCGCACGCGACGAUAAUGACGGUAGCGUGAGAAGAAGCCCCGGCUAACUUCGUG
rnacentral:rRNA from 1 species